rnacentral:rRNA from 1 species
UACGGGGGGGGCAAGCGUUGUUCGGAAUUACUGGGCGUAAAGGGCUCGUAGGUGGCCAACUGAGUGAGACGUGAAAUCCCUCGGCUUAACCGGGGAACUGCGUCUGAUACUGGAUGGCUUGAGUUCGGGAGAGGGAUGCGGAAUUCCAGGUGUAGCGGUGAAAUGCGUAGAUAUCUGGAGGAACACCGGUGGCGAAGGCGGCAUCCUGGACCGACACUGACACUGAGGAGCGAAAGCCAGGGGAGCAAACGGG